rnacentral:lncRNA from 1 species
AUAGGGAAGGCACCUCUCACAUGAGGUGCCUUGAGGAGUUUCUUUCCUCUGGAUAUAAGGAAGGCACCUCUCACAUGAACUGCUUCAGGGGAGAAGGUUGAAGGUGACCUUCUGGCUUCUGCUGUUUUCUCAAAUGCCACAUUUGGUGCCAUGUUUUGGGCUGGUUGCACCUGGCAGCUGUCUUCAGGCUGUUGGUUUUCCUUAAGUGUGUGAUCCCCAAGUGCCUACAUGAGACCAUGGUACAAAUGCCUGAUUUCAGCCUUCUUCAUAAAGGAAACAGUGGGGCCCGCUGCCCCAUGGAAGGUUUCAAUACUCAAUAUUCUAAGAAUGAAGUGACAUCAGGAAAGUAAUUGCUAUGGUGCAAGAUGUUGAAAGGGUGAAUAAUAAAAAUCAGAUGGAUUUCUUGGAAGGAAAAUACGUUUACAGUUCAAACACAGGGCCUGGGUGGAGAUACAGAACCAGGGGAAGAAAUUAAAACAUAUGAGAGUCAAGGGUAACGGUCAGAACAGCUCGGAAUGUGAGACUGAUGGAGCAUGAGAGUCCAGCAGGACUGGAGGGCCAGAAGGACAGAGUUUCACUCUGUGGUAGGCCCAUUAAAGGUCUUGUUUACCUGAAGAUACUACAAUAAUUGAAAUUGCAUAUUAAUUGGAAAUUGCAUAUUAAUAAGUCCAUUUAAGCCUGUUUGCUUUACUCUGUGUUUGCUUAUAUUUGCAUUACCACUUGGCAGCGUCUGGGUCUUUAUGAUGCAUCUUUUGCAGCUGGAUAAGCUUGAAUCUAUAAAAGUUGUGAAUAAAAAUUUCUCAAACAUAACGAGGGGAUAGUCCUCAGCCACUGGAAUAGGUAGCCAUGCCCCUAAUCCAGAAAACACUCAUUCUUGGAUGCAUUCUGCCAAUUUGACAUCUUUUACUCUCCGAUUUUGUGGUAGUGCUCUCCAAAGUGGCCUUUAUCAAUUCAGACCAUUCCUAUAUAUGCCUGCUGCUUCUUCAGUAAAGAGGUGAAUGCUAAUUCCCCUGUCCUUGGCCUUAGUGACUUGCUUAACCCACAGAAUGCAGUAGAAGCAGGAUUUCUGUGACUUCCCAGGCUGAGUCAUAAGAAGCUUUGCAGUUUCCACCUGAGUCUCUUGGAUUGCUCACUCCUGUAAAACAUCCACCGUGAUAUAAGGAGCCCGUGCCACAUGGAAAUGCCAUGUGUAUGUGUGCCUGUCCUCAACCUCGGCUGAAUUCUCAUCUGGCAUCAACUGCCAGCCUUUGAGUUGGACUUCUUGGCCAUUCAACUCAGUUGGACCUUCAGUUGAGUGCAGCUUCAUCUGAUAUUUGUCUGCAACCAUGUAAGCGUCAUCAAAUGAGAAACCAGCCAAACCCAAUCAAUGCAUAGAACCAUGA